UAGACUGAAUCAUUACAGUAAGGACAUUGAGUAAGGUCUGUGAUGUGUAUUUCCAGAAGUUCCCAGGUGAUGCUGCUGUUCUGAGACCCAUGUCUCAGUUGUAAGAUUAA
rnacentral:miRNA from 14 species